rnacentral:rRNA from 1 species
GAUGAACGCUGGCGGCGUGCCUAAUACAUGCAAGUCGAGCGAACAGACGAGGAGCUUGCUCCUCUGACGUUAGCGGCGGACGGGUGAGUAACACGUGGAUAACCUACCUAUAAGACUGGGAUAACUUCGGGAAACCGGAGCUAAUACCGGAUAAUAUUUUGAACCGCAUGGUUCAAUAGUGAAUGACGGUUUUGCUGUCACUUAUAGAUGGAUCCGCGCUGCAUUAGCUAGUUGGUAAGGUAACGGCUUACCAAGGCAACGAUGCGUAGCCGACCUGAGAGGGUGAUCGGCCACACUGGAACUGAGACACGGUCCAGACUCCUACGGGAGGCAGCAGUAGGGAAUCUUCCGCAAUGGGCGAAAGCCUGACGGAGCAACGCCGCGUGAGUGAUGAAGGUCUUCGGAUCGUAAAACUCUGUUAUUAGGGAAGAACAAAUGUGUAAGUAACUAUGCACGUCUUGACGGUACCUAAUCAGAAAGCCACGGCUAACUACGUG